rfam:Enterovirus 5666/sin/002209, complete genome.
UUAAAACAGCUGUGGGUUGUACCCACUCACAGGGCCCACGUGGCGCUAGCACUCUGGUUCUGCGGAACCUUUGUGCGCCUGUUUUACGC